AAAGAAUCACUGUGAUGGCUUUCAAAUGUUUCUCCUGCAUUAGGUACCAAUUCGUUUAACCUGUGGCCUAAUCAGAUUUUUAGGAGGGCCAUCUGAGAGCUAAACCUACGUCUAUUAACCAGCUGAUAUUCGUUAACACUGGAUGGUUAGUAGAUGGACAUCCAGUCCCAUCAGGUAACCUUUGACCGUGCAGCACACUUGAAAAAAAACAGAAGUUGACCCAAAGGAAGACCAAAUGAACAGCCCAGUUCUUUAUGGGCAGCCUCAAAGUGCUUUUCAGUUAUUCUGUGUAAAAAAAUGGAUGCGUUAGAGGCAGUACUGAGCAGGAAGUGCAGGUGAUCAGGUGAGAAAUCAAAAGGUAGCGAAUAAAACAGCGACAGGAAAAAUAUAAAAAGAAUAAAAAACCCACAAAUCAAAAUUAAUAACAAAUACUAAUGAUGAAUUUAAAAAAUGAGUUUAAAAAAUAAUAAGAGAUCAUCAAAUAGAACCGAUUUAACAAUUGUUGGACAUAUCAGACGGGUCCAGACUGUGGGGGGGCAAAAACAGAAAGACCAGGUCACCUUUGGGUUUCAGGUGAGAGGAGUCUGUAGUGAGGAUGACUCUGAGGUGAAAGAGAAACAGAACAGAUGGAAACAGAAUGUUUGGGAUUCCAGCACUGAGACGGGGGGUUAAAAAAGCUUGUUUGCAAAUAGACAAAUGUGCCACGAUUCAAGAGGUCAUCCUGAAAGGCGGAGUCCUGCUCAGAUCACAGAUUAAUUUUUAAAAAUUAAUUAAAAAAUGUAAAAAGAAAAAAAAAGGUUGAUGGAAAAAUCAUUCUAACUAAUCUAAUAGAUCUAUAUACAUUUUUAAAUGACAUCCUUUAUUUAUCCCAAUAAAAGACUGUAACAUCUCUUUUUCAAAACAGCAGCAGAUAGUUCAAACAAGUUCACGCAACUACAGAUCAUGCACAAUAACAGGUCACAUUUCAGUGCAACUUACUUCAAUUUCCACAUUAUAACCAUCUCUGACGAUUUCAGGUACAUAUAACAUCAAAUAUGUAGAUGAGUGUCUUAAACUUUGCUUUUAAAGUAAAGCCUUGCUCCGUGUCCGCUAAUUUUCAUACAGUCCCUUCCUGCUUUGCACUGCAGACACUCACAGCACUGAAAGAAGAGUUUCUUUUACUCUGAGGGUCUUUUGUCAUUGCGGUUAAUCCUCUGUGUGGGGAUUUAAAAAGAAUACAAUAAUAUAUAUUGCUAUGGCGUUAUUGUGUGAUACUCACUGUGAACCAAACAGCAGUGAGAAUUUAGAUUCCCCGUCUUAACCAGAGGAGGGCAGUGUUUGUAAAUAGUUACCACUGCAGAGUGUUCUCAGUGCUCCACUCGGUCCUGUAACACGUCCUGUUGCACCUUAGACUCAAGUUUUUAUGCUAUCUUUUGAGUUGGCACCAAAGAUAAAUAUAAAUAUAUAUAUAAAAGAAGCGGACCGCUGAGCUUUGCAUUUGGGUCCCUUAAGAUAUGUUGAGAAUAUUUAAAAAAAUUACCUAUGCAGUUCUGUACUUGGUUUUGCUUUGCUUCAGGAAGCACACUCUUCAUUUGAAUGAAGCAUUAUGCUUUUAUCUAAAGAUUUAUCAUUUCAAAUAAAACACAGAAAUAUGUGCA
ensembl:lncRNA